CUUCAAAGUUAACAGCUUACCACAAGUUUACCACUAACUGAGAAGCAUUCGUUCACCUACCCAAUGCAACAUGAACAUUUUUGUGGCUUUUCUGGUGUUAUUGAUGCUCACCGGGGCGGCCGUUUCAGGUUUGGAUUGUCCCUUUCUCACUAAAGUGGUCACGCCACAAUACGUCACGAACGUAGGAAAUGCGGGGAAUCAAUGCCUCGAAUGCCAGGGCCGCUUGCUUUCCUAUACCAAAAGGAUCUGCAAUGAGGGCUUGGAGUGUGUCAAACAAUUCCGUAUUUAUCCAUAUUACUUCUGUGAACCUAAGAAACGUUACUAAACGUGGUCAAGAGAAACUGGUGAUGGUCAGUAGACCAUUUUUACAGAAAAAUGAUAAUUGCAAGAAAGUAAAACAUAUUUGAGUUUUUAACUGAUCA